UUGUCCCAGGGCUCUACAGGCUUUUGUUGGUGCUUACUUUGGGGAAGGAACUGGUCCAGUUUUUCUCGAAAAUUUAGGAUGUAGCGGAAAUGAAAAACAUCUUGAUAGUUGCUCCGCGAGUGGCUUAUUUUCGACUUCCUGUAGACAUAGCCACGAUGUUGGUGUAGCUUGUCUGAGUAAGUACAUUUUAUGUCUCAUUUCAGUGGAAUUUUAAAGUGUAUUUUAUUGAAGAUAUAAAUGAUGUGAGGUCAUACCAUUUUUGGCAUUUGCUUAUUGUAAUAGCGGGAGUUUAUGGCGCAACAAUAUAUAUCGACUUAUGUAAAAACAACCGAUUAAUUUUUGAAAAUAGGGAAAUCAAAACCUCACCAUUACUAACGAUAGAUGCAUAAGAAUCUAAAACAUAUGACAACGACUUCAUUGAUAAUUCUUGAAUGAAACUGAACUUCGAUAAAGACAAUAUGGUGGUAUCUUAAUGACUCUGUUAUGCUGCUUUUCUGUGUUUUAUGGUUGACGAACCAUUCUUGUACAACCGACAUAUGCUUGCUUUCUUCAAACAAAUUUUAAUUUAAACUUAAAAAUAGUCGUAAAAAUCGAUAUGAAAUAUUACAAACUGAUGGACGGUAUAGGAAACAUAUUUGAUAAAAUACAUAAGAUUCCUCUUGUUAACAUAGAAGACUUUUAAAAUACUACAUGCAUUACAGUCAUGUAUAUAUUUUUAACAUGUUUAAUGCAAAUAUCGAAAUUAAAUAAACGAUUCGGUGAUUGUAAAUCAACUUCUAACCUUUACUUGCACAUUGCUUGCUGUAUUUGAGCACUAAAUCAUUGAAUAUUUCCAGGUGGAAAUAGUACUGAUGUCGUACAAGG
rnacentral:lncRNA from 1 species